AGGAGAAGGAAUUUGUCAAUGUAUAGCGCUAUAGAAGACUUUCUACAAGGUGAUACCAGUAUUAUCCCAAAAAGAUAUUCUUACUCGGACAUUAAGAAGAUGACUAACAGAUUCAAGGACAAACUGGGUGAAGGCGGCUAUGGCUGUUUAUUUGCGCAGUGGUCGUUUUGGAGCUAUUAAGAUGUUGGGCAAGUCUAAAGCUAAUGGACAAGAUUUUGUCAACGAGGUAGAUACCAUUGGGAGGAUUCACCAUGUUAACGUGGUGCAACUUGUUGGUUAUUGUGUUGAGGGAUCGAACCGUUGUCUAGUCUAUGACUUCAUGCCUAACGGGUCUCUUGAUAAAUAUGUUUUAUUCGAAAGAAGGAACUACGUAUUUAAGUUAUGAGAAAAUGUAUCAGAUUUCUCUUGGACUAGCUGGAGGGAUUGAAUAUCUACGUCAAGGUUGCGACAUGCAAAUUCUGCAUUUCAAUAUUAAGCCUCACAAUAUUCUUCUUGAUGAGAAUUUCAACCCAAAGAUAUCUGAUUUUGGCCUUGCAAAAUUAUAUCCAACAGAUAAUAGCAUUGUCUUGUUGACGGCUGCAAGAGGAACAAUGGGAUAUAUGGCUCCUGAGUUGUUCUACAAAAAUAUUGGAGGUGUCUCGUACAAGGCUGAUGUCUAUAGUUUUGGAAUGUUGCUAAGGGAAAUGGCAAGCAGAAGGAAGAAUUUGGACGCAUUGGCAGAGCAUUCGAGCCAGCUUUACUUGCCAAUAUGGGUGUAUGAGAAAUAUAAUGAAGGAAAAGAUUUGGAGAUGAGCGAUGCCACUGAAGAGGAAAAGAAGAUAGUAAAAAAGAUGGUUAUAACGGCCUUAUGGUGUAUACAAAUGAAACCAGGUGAUCGUCCUUCAAUGAACAAAGUCAUAGAGAUGCUUGAAGGAGAUGCUGAGUGCCUGCAAAUGCCUCCAAAGCCUUUUCUGUUUCCACAAGAGAUACCUAUAGGAGAUCCACAGAAUAAUCCGAAUCUGACGUGCUCUAACACGAAGCUAAAAUGUACGUUGUCGGGAAGGUGAUGCACACCUAGCACAGGCUCUUUCCAUUUGCUUCAAAUGAUAAGAUUUGAUGAUUGCAAGUAUCAUGUAUAAAACUCUGCGAAAAUGAUUAUAUGUUGUCCUAUUUUAUCUUGUUUACCAAAUAUUUAGUUAACUUGUUAUAGUUUUGCCGUCUUCUUGUCUUUAAUGUGUUGAAAGUAAUGACAACAGAUGUAUUUCCAGUUGAUACAUAUGUAUUAGUCAAAAUUUUGACUAAUGUUGUAGACA